rnacentral:rRNA from 1 species
GACGAACGCUGGCGGCGUGCCUAAUACAUGCAAGUCGAGCGAAGCGGCGGACGGGUGAGUAUUACGUGAGUAACCUGCCCUCAACUGUGGGAUAAGCCUGGGAAACUGGGUCUAAUACUGCAUAGUUGGGGAUGGGCUCGCGGCCUAUCAGCUUGUUGGUGGGGUGGUGGCCUACCAAGGCGGUGACGGGUAGCCGGCCUGAUAGGGUGGUCGGCCUGAUGGGGACUGGGGUGCGGCACAGACUCAUAGGAGAGGAAGCUGUGGGGGAGAUUGCACAAUGGGCGCAAGCCUGAUGCAGCGACGCGGCGUGAGGGAGGAAGGCUUUCGGGUUGUAAACCUCUUUCGGUACAGAACGGGUAUGUGAAGAAGAAGCGCCGGCUAACUAAGUGCCAGCAGCCGCGGUAAUUC